CUCAAAGUGGUGUAAUGGCAGCACGCCUGAUGACAUGCAGUACGAAAGUAUUGCACCCUUCGGGGGGAGGAGAACCGGGUUCGAUUCCUGGCUUUGAGA